GGACAAAUCUGCACUGACCCCCCACUCAAACAAUUCAAUUCCUGGGCUUUGAAAUAGAUUCCAGGUCUUGCACUCUCCACCUCCUGGCUACUAAGGUGACGGCCAUCAGGAAAGAGAUAUGCAAGGUCCUCUAGAUCGACUCCAUUCCUCUUCGACAACUGGCACGGAUAGUAGGACUUUUAUCCUCCUCCAUCCAGGCCAUAUUUCCAGGCCCCCUACACUAUCGAGC